GACGAACGCUGGCGGCGUGCUUAACACAUGCAAGUCGAACGGAAAGGCCCUGCUUUUGUGGGGUGCUCGAGUGGCGAACGGGUGAGUAACACGUGAGUAACCUGCCCUUGACUUUGGGAUAACUUCAGGAAACUGGGGCUAAUACCGGAUAGGAGCUCCUGCUGCAUGGUGGGGGUUGGAAAGUUUCGGCGGUUGGGGAUGGACUCGCGGCUUAUCAGCUUGUUGGUGGGGUAGUGGCUUACCAAGGCUUUGACGGGUAGCCGGCCUGAGAGGGUGACCGGCCACAUUGGGACUGAGAUACGGCCCAGACUCCUACGGGAGGCAGCAGUGGGGAAUAUUGCACAAUGGGCGAAAGCCUGAUGCAGCAACGCCGCGUGCGGGAUGACGGCCUUCGGGUUGUAAACCGCUUUCGCCUGUGACGAAGCGUGAGUGACGGUAAUGGGUAAAGAAGCACCGGCUAACUACGUGCCAGCAGCCGCGGUGAUACGUAGGGUGCGAGCGUUGUCCGGAUUUAUUGGGCGUAAAGGGCUCGUAGGUGGUUGAUCGCGUCGGAAGUGUAAUCUUGGGGCUUAACCCUGAGCGUGCUUUCGAUACGGGUUGACUUGAGGAAGGUAGGGGAGAAUGGAAUUCCUGGUGGAGCGGUGGAAUGCGCAGAUAUCAGGAGGAACACCAGUGGCGAAGGCGGUUCUCUGGGCCUUUCCUGACGCUGAGGAGCGAAAGCGUGGGGAGCGAACAGGCUUAGAUACCCUGGUAGUCCACGCUGUAAACGGUGGGUACUAGGUGUGGGGUCCAUUCCACGGGUUCCGUGCCGUAGCUAACGCUUUAAGUACCCCGCCUGGGGAGUACGGCCGCAAGGCUAAAACUCAAAGGAAUUGACGGGGCCCCGCACAAGCGGCGGAGCAUGCGGAUUAAUUCGAUGCAACGCGUAGAACCUUACCUGGGUUUGACAUGGAUCGGGAGUGCUCAGAGAUGGGUGUGCCUCUUUUGGGGUCGGUUCACAGGUGGUGCAUGGCUGUCGUCAGCUCGUGUCGUGAGAUGUUGGGUUAAGUCCCGCAACGAGCGCAACCCUUGUUCACUGUUGCCAGCACGUUAUGGUGGGGACUCAGUGGAGACCGCCGGGGUCAACUCGGAGGAAGGUGGGGAUGACGUCAAGUCAUCAUGCCCCUUAUGUCCAGGGCUUCACGCAUGCUACAAUGGCUGGUACAGAGAGUGGCGAGCCUGUGAGGGUGAGCGAAUCUCGGAAAGCCGGUCUCAGUUCGGAUUGGGGUCUGCAACUCGACCUCAUGAAGUCGGAGUCGCUAGUAAUCGCAGAUCAGCAACGCUGCGGUGAAUACGUUCCCGGGCCU
rnacentral:rRNA from 1 species